rnacentral:rRNA from 1 species
UACGAAGGGGGCGAGCGUUGUUCGGAUUUACUGGGCGUAAAGGGCGCGCAGGCGGCCGCUCAAGUCAGGCGUGAAAGCCCCGGGCUUAACCUGGGGAACUGCGUCUGGGACUGAGUGGCUAGAGUUCGGGAGAGGAGAGUGGAAUUCCCGAGUGUAGAGGUGAAAUUCGUAGAUAUUGGGAAGAACACCGGUGGCGAAGGCGGCUCUCUGGACCGAGACUGACGCUGAGGCGCGAAAGCGUGGGGAGCAAACAGG